rnacentral:rRNA from 1 species
CCUACGGGAGGCAGCAGUGAGGAAUAUUGGUCAAUGGCCGUAAGGCUGAACCAGCCAAGUCGCGUGAAGGAAGAAGGAUCUAUGGUUUGUAAACUUCUUUUAUAGGGGAAUAAAGGUAUCCACGUGUGGAUAUUUGCAUGUACCCUAUGAAUAAGCAUCGGCUAACUCCGUGCCAGCAGCCGCGGUAAUACGGAGGAUGCGAGCGUUAUCCGGAUUUAUUGGGUUUAAAGGGUGCGUAGGUUGUUUUUUAAGUCAGCGGUCAAAUGUCGGGGCUCAACCCCGGCCUGCCGUUGAAACUGGCGGCCUCGAGUGGGCGAGAAGUAUGUGGAAUGCGUGGUGUAGCGGUGAAAUGCAUAGAUAUCACGCAGAACUCCGAUUGCGAAGGCAGCAUACCGGCGCCCUACUGACGCUGAGGCACGAAAGCGUGGGUAUCGAACAGGAUUAGAUACCCGGGUAGUC